rnacentral:rRNA from 1 species
AAUGAACGUUGGCGGCGUGGAUUAGGCAUGCAAGUCGAGCGAGAAGCUUUUAAUUGAACUUCGGUCGAUUUAAAAGUGGACAGCGGCGAAAGGGAGAGUAACGAGUAGAUACGUACCCAGGGGUUCGGGAUAGCUGCGGGAAACUGCAGGUAAUACCGAAUAAUGUCUCCGGACCAAAAAUUUAUUGCCCUUGGAGCGGUCUGCUUACUAUUAGGUAGUUGGUGGGGUAAAGGCUCACCAAGCCAAAGAUGGUUAGCGGGUGUGAGAGCAUGGCCCGUCUCACUGGGACUGAGACACUGCCCAGACACCUACGGGUGGCUGCAGUCGAGAAUCUUCCGCAAUGGGCGAAAGCCUGACGGAGCGACGCCGCGUGCGGGACAAGGCCUUCGGGUUGUAAACCGCUGUCGUAGGGAGGAAUUUUGACCGAUCCUAGGAGGAAGCACAGGCU